CUUUUUUUUCAAAAUGGCUGCUCGUUUUGCCGUAGUAACAGAAGAGGAAAUUGCCAAAAUUAAAGAAGAUAGCAUUCCGAAAAAACCCAAACAAGCUACAAAAUAUGGUUUAAAAAUAUUUCAAGGUAUUACUAAACUAAUAAAUACUAAACUUUACGUGCUUUUAUUUGGAAAAAAACUGGCUUAGUCGCAACGCGAAACAGAGCCGUGUCUGAGAUUUAAAUUUUGUAAACAAACUAUUUAUAGUGAAAAUAAAUUUAUUUGAAGUGAAUUUUUAUAAAGUUGUGUGGAUUAUUGUUUGUAAACACCUGGAAAUUUAUACUAAAACAAUUAGUCGCCUCAGGCUCGGUGAUUACAAGCCUAUAUUCACUUUGCCUUCGGCUCAGUGAAUAUAGGCUUGUAAUCACCUCGCCUUCGGCGACUAAUUGUUAAAUAGUACCAAAUACAAGAAUAUUAACUAUAUUACUAAGCAUGCAUGUUUUUUUUUAAAUUUUGACAAUAUACAGUUUAUUACAUACUUGCGCCUUUGACUUUGUCAGUGUCAGAAUUUAUUACUAGAAUAUUAUCAUUGCCCCAGUGGUUGCAACAAUUGUUGAACUAGCGGGACAAAAGCGAUAUCAGUGACAAGAAACGAUAUCAGUGACAAAAAAGAUAUCCGGCACCCUCAGUCGCCAGGAUAAAGGCGCGUGCAAGUAUGACUAUAGUAUGUAAUAAAAUUGAAAUAAUAAGAUCUUUGUAAGUUUGCAUGGCGAUAAAACAUAUAAUAGUUUUGUUUGUGGAAACACCAUGCACGUAAAUUUAUUACAUGCAAAGCUUUCGAUCCGGGCUUACGGAUGAAGAUCCGGGCUUACGGAUCGAAAGUUUUGCAGUAAUAAAUUUACGUGGUGCAUGUUUCCACAAACAAAACUAUUAUAAAUAAUAAGAGUUUGAUAAUCAUCAUAAUAGGCAAGAACUUGCCGUCGAUAAUUUUAUUUUCGCCAGCAUUAUCGGCGGAAAUUUCCGUUUGCCGUCGAUGAUUGCGAGGACUGAUAUUGGCAUUAUUUUAAAAAUGAUAAUUAUUUUAAAAAUAGUAAAAACUAUUCAGCUAAUAGUACUAAAAUAUUUUUUUUCAAAAUCUUUAUUAUAGAAAUAGCCAUGCUAUUAUAGCAUAGAACCUAGUUGGAAAUACUAUAGAAAUUUAAUUUCCACACAAAUUGCCAUUUCCGUAUACAGCUAAUUCAAAAAGGUUGCCCUUUGCAAACCUUAUAAUUAAACUCUAAACCUUAAACCUUAAAGACUCUAAGCGUGCAAAGUAUAAUGGGAGUAUCGUUUAAUCAGUUUAGAAAUCAUAUAAGUUUUACUUAGAGUUUAAGGUUUGCAAUGCACAACCUUUUUUGAAUUGGCUGUAUACCCCUAUGGAGGAUAUACUUAUUACUGGGUACAGGGACGCCGGAACGAUCAUAAGGCAAAGGGGGGCGGACCCACACCAAGGGCACCUAUCUAAAGCAAAACUUCAAAAUCUUCCGAAAUUUUUUUUGUUACUCGAAAAAUUUCGGUCAGUGUACCAUUUUAGGGGUCAAAAAUUUUUUCCGGACUGACAAGAUGUCAAAUAUAAACUAGAAAUUGUCUGAAUCUCAUGAUUUUCGUACAGAAACCAUCGUUGUAAAUGUGAUUUAUUACGGUUUUUUUUAUAACUAAAAGGGCACUUCUGCCCCCCCCCCUAGCAAAAGGCAAGGGGGGCAGCCGCCCCCCCUGCCCCCCAAGUUCCGGCGUCCCUGACUGGGUACACUAUGGAUUUAGUUAUGCAAAUAUGAUUCCCAUGUGCUAUAUAUAUAUUUUUUCAACUGUGUAGCAUUGGGAAAAUAUGUGUGUAUAUGUUAAAUAUUAAAUAAAUGUAAUUAUAAAGAG
rnacentral:lncRNA from 1 species